UUCCCUCCAUUCCCUCAUUUCCAUCCUUUCCCUCCUAUCUCGCCUUUCCAUCCUUUCCCUCCUGUGAAAUAUAUUCACGAAAAGGGGCUGGCUGUGAUAUUUGGAGGAAAUUUGAAUAGGAAAGUGUACACCUUUAUCGCUGGUCGGUUUGCAACUGUAUAUUCGUUUGUCCUUUUUUGUAUAUAAUAUUUCAUGCAGUUCAUAAUUCGUGUAGAUCGAGCAGUUUCGAAUGUAGAGUAGUUUAUAACCUAAUCUUAGUUUCCUAACGCUUUGUUUUAUGUACAAUUCAAAUUUAAGUUCGAAAAUAAUUAUCCAAAUUCCAACAUUCCCGGCCACCAAAGAAGAACUUCUUUAAAUUUCAUGCAAAAUAUAAAUUCAAUAAUGAGUUCAAAAAAGAAUUCAAAAAAAGUUCGACUCUUGAACCUGACGCUUAUCUCCUAUCAUACUGCUCGUGUGUGUAGAUGUGUGAAUGUGUGUUGCGUGUAUCUUGUUCUGCCAUGAGUGCGAAAUGUAAACAAUGUCGCGUGGCUUGCAGCUGCGCGUUACUCAGUGCCAGUGGUUUCCUUCUGCUCUAAGUUGCUAAUUACGUCCGGAUUAGGCAAAACCGCCAGACGAUUAGCUGCGCGGACGAUUUGCUUCCUUGAAGCAGUGCGCAGUGUAACGACGCGAACAACAUCGUCCUUUCCAGGGUGUACUGCAACGAUGCGCCCCAUCGGCCACGAGGUAGGAUGUACAUUGUCUUCCUUAAUAAUCACCAGUGUAUUUUCUUUCAGAACCGCUGAUUUUCCGUUGCAAUAUUUGGCUCGAGCUUGUAACUGCUGCAGGUACUCCGGAUACCAUCGAGCCCAAAUGGUUUGCAGAUGUUUUUGUACCAACUGGUAUUCCCUCAAAUAGUUGCUCGGUGUCUCGGUGUAAUCGAUGAUUGGUACCGCUUGCAGAUUGCCACCGACGAGGAAGUGUCCCGGUGUCAAUGGUUCCAAGUCCGACGGCUCAUCGGAUAGAGGUGUAAUUGGUCGCGAAUUUAAACAUUGCUCUACCUGGGCAAGUAGGCUGCCUUCACCGCCGCCUCCCAUAAACCUCCAAAAUGUGGUGCUCUUGGUGGGAUAAACUUCCACUUCAUAUGAUUCAUCGCGCACCAAUCAAAUAUAGCAGCUCGAUCGUGUUCGUCGCUCUUUAGCAUCUUGUAGACGCGAUUCAGCUCAUGUGCCGCUCCCUUAAAGGUGGUUGCAUUGUCGGAAUGCAGUUCACCGAUUUGACCACGACGUGCAAUCAAACGACGAAGUGCAUUGAUAAAUGCUGUUGAUGUUAAAUCGCCAACCAGUUCGAUAUGUACCGCUCUUGUUGAAAAACAUACAAAUAUGGCGAUGUAUGCUUUAAUCGGA